rnacentral:rRNA from 1 species
UAGUGGCGCAGCUAACGCAAUAAGUUGACCGCCUGGGGAGUACGGCCGCAAGGUUAAAACUCAAAUGAAUUGACGGGGGCCCGCACAAGCGGUGGAGCAUGUGGUUUAAUUCGAUGCAACGCGAAGAACCUUACCUACCCUUGACAUCCAGAGGACUUUCCAGAGAUGGAUUGGUGCCUUUGGGAACUCUGAGACAGGUGCUGCAUGGCUGUCGUCAGCUCGUGUUGUGAAAUGUUGGGUUAAGUCCCGUAACGAGCGCAACCCCUAUCCUUAUUUGCCAGCGAGUAAUGUCGGGAACUCUAAGGAGACUGCCGGUGACAAACCGGAGGAAGGUGGGGACGACGUCAAGUCAUCAUGGCCCUUACGGGUAGGGCUACACACGUGCUACAAUGGCAAGUACAAAGGGUUGCAAUACUGCGAAGUGGAGCCAAUCCCAUAAAGCUUGCCUCAGUCCGGAUUGGAGCCUGCAACUCGACUCCAUGAAGUCGGAAUCGCUAGUAAUCGUGGAUCAGAAUGCCACGGUGAAUACGUUCCCGGGCCUUGUACACACCGCCCAGGCCAACACAUGCAAGUCCAGGCCUUGUACACACCGCCCAAGCC